UACGGAGGAUGCGAGCGUUAUCCGGAUUUAUUGGGUUUAAAGGGUGCGUAGGCGGAUCGUUAAGUCAGUGGUCAAAUUGAGGGGCUCAACCCCUUCCCGCCAUUGAAACUGGCGAUCUUGAGUGGAAGAGAAGUAUGCGGAAUGCGUGGUGUAGCGGUGAAAUGCAUAGAUAUCACGCAGAACCCCGAUUGCGAAGGCAGCAUGCCGGCUUCCGACUGAUGCUGAAGCACGAAAGCGUGGGGAUCGAACAGG
rnacentral:rRNA from 1 species